GAUUGUAGGUAUGAUGAAGAGAGUUUGAAUGGUUCCUCCUCUUUCAAAUAUGAAAAAGCCAGCCAAGAAUGCAUCAACAGCAAAGUAUCAAAAUAACAAAGUAAAUAAAAUGUAACCAUAUACAGGCUCAUUCAGCUAAACCACAAAGGUCUGAACAGCAUCUGUUUGCACAUAUCCAGUCUUACUCUAACAUUCUAAACCAACCGACCUUACUCUUUGUUCUGAGCAGGUUCCAACUUCCCUAAUGGUGAUUUGGGAGCCAUUUUAUAUCGUAGGCUCCGCCUCUGGAUCAUACCAUGUUGGAGGUAUAAUGGUUGUGACCCUGCUGAUGUCACACCUAAGAUGGCUGCCAGUGUUUGCGUAAAAGUCCAGGUUGAACAUUAAACAGGUUUGGCUCUGCCUAACAAAACUGACUCUUAAUAGAAGAUGUAGACUUGCCAUGAUCCAGAAUUCCAGCUAUUUGCUGAAGUUCAUCUUUCAAACCGAACAGCAUGGAAUGCAGUACUCUUCAGAUACUGUGAACAGGUGUAGCCCAAAUGCAACAGAUUCAGACUUUGCAGCAAUGGCGGAACACCUGAAGCACGCUGGGGGUGGUGGAUAUAAAAAAUGAGCCAUAAACAACUUUCACCAACUCUUAAAUAUUUACACGUUAUCCAUAAUCCUGUAUUUUGUUGUUUACUUGUUUUAUUGCGGUUUAACAGUAAUACAAGACUGUUAGGAAAUCAUUGGUAGUGCAUAGCUCUGACUUCCAUACAUCAAUGGUGGAACACAUGAUUCACACUCCUGGAAGAGCUGGUGGUCGGGGACCAAGAAAAUGAGAAUAAACAUUUUGAAAAAAAAAGGAAAGACUAAAUAGUUACAUAUGUGUUAACUAUAAUACUGUUCUUUUAUUAUUUUCAUGUUUGGUUAAUGGCUGCUUAACAUUAAUGCAAAACAUUAUUUUUUGACAUUCCACUAUUUUUCUUUUCUUGUUUGAAUAGUAGCUGUUUAACAAAUGGAAGACAAUUAAAAAAUGUGAUGUUCACUAUAAAAUAUACUGUGCUAAAUUAAAACACUUAUUUUUGCCUAAGUCCACAAACAAUGUGCUAUUGUUUGUGAUGUACACGUGAUUAAAACGUUUUAUAGACGUUCAGGUCAGACUGGACCGAUUUUGGACCUUUUUAGAACCUAUGUCAGUUUAAGACACGUAAACCUUAAGACAUAAUUGCUUGCCUUACACAAUGGGUAUGUGAUUAUAUUAAAUGCAGGAUUAUAUAAACGCUAAAAUUAAGCAGAAACAUAUCUAAUAAUAAACGUCCAGAAGAGGGAAAAUGUGGACGUCCAGGGACGAGCAGAAAAGACGUGGAAAUCACGGCCAGGUAACGUCAAAGACUUCCAUUCAACUUUCAUUUUGGAACUAUUGUUCAACCGUGACUGGACGUGUCGGACUGACGUCUUUUCAACGGUCAUUAAACGUCCAAAUGUUUGUUGGGAAUCCAUCAAACAAUACGAUACGUUACUUUAAAUCCCAGACAAAGAACAAGAGCAGGGUGAGAAUUUAUACUGAGUCCGGGUAAAGAGUCUCAGGUGUGAGAGUCAACGAUGAGGGAUCUUGGGAAAAGAACGUCCUGGGGCAAAAACGGGGAAAAACAUACUAAGGGACCGACGGAGUGUACACUUAAAGGGAAUGGGAGAUGAGACUGAUUGGUUUACUGCACGUUUAGCCCAAAACACACCCAUGACUCAUUAAGAAAUAGGGACAACCCUUUUAGACCAUGCGCAUGGCACGCUAACCGUUUUCGGUCCUUAAACUCAGUGUUGGGUAAGUUACUCUGAAAAAGUAAUUAAUUACUAGUUACUAAUUACAUAUUCAAUAGUGUAAUUAGAUUACUGUACAAAUUACUCUCUCCAAAAAGUAUUUAGUUACUUAUUACUAAUUACUUUCUAUAUCCUACAUCAACCUUGAUUAGUUAAGUGAUUCAAGG